AUGGACGCCAAGCCGCCGAGCCACCUGAGCACCUCCUCUAGCUUGUCGCUUGGUCGCCGCCUUGCCAAGCUCCACCGCCACCGGAGAUCCCUAUUGCUGCUCUGUCCCCAUCCAAGUCCCUGUCGCCGCUGCUGCUUCCCUGCUUCCCCCUUCGAACCUCGCUGCCGGAGCCUCAAGACCCUGCUGCCAAGUCCCCCCGCCGCGCCACACAGGAGAGGAGCUCCCCGCAGCAGCGCCCGAACCCAUCCCUCAGCAGUGCCAUGGCCUCGUUGUGUUCUGCCCGCGCCGACGCCUCAAGCUGCCACCACUCGCUCCAGAUCUGGCCGGCCUCCGCUAGGUCGCCCGUUCCUGGCCGGAUCCCGCCGUCCUGGACCUCCCCUGCAAGCAAUCGCCGCCACGUAG
rnacentral:rRNA from 1 species